rnacentral:rRNA from 1 species
CGCCAGACUCCUACGGGAGGCAGCAGUGGGGAAUAUUGCACAAUGGGCGCAAGCCUGACCCAGCAACGCCGCGUGAAGGAAGAAGGCUUUCGGGUUGUAAACUUCUUUUCUCAGGGACGAAGCAAGUGACGGUACCUGAGGAAUAAGCCACGGCUAACUACGUGCCAGCAGCCGCGGUAAUACGUAGGUGGCAAGCGUUAUCCGGAUUUACUGGGUGUAAAGGGCGUGUAGGCGGGACUGCAAGUCAGAUGUGAAAACCAUGGGCUCAACCUAUGGCCUGCAUUUGAAACUGUAGUUCUUGAGUACUGGAGAGGCAGACGGAACUCCUAGUGUAGCGGUGAAAUGCGUAGAUAUUAGGAGGAACACCAGUGGCGAAGGCGGUCUGCUGGACAGCAACUGACGCUGAGGCGCGAAAGCGUGGGGAGCAAACAGGAUUAGAUACCCGAGUA